CCUCAAUUGAUUGAAGGAGAUCGUCCGUUGCAUAUUUCUGAACCGGCUGUACAAUUGUUUUUUCCUCGAGUAAACAGAGUCGGGUAAUUAUCAUUGGAAUCACAGUAAAAUCUCAACCGGGGAUAACGUAAACGAGAUCAAAUAAAUUCGGCCUGUUGGAGCGAAGACCGUUAUCUCUAGUUACGACACAUGUUUGAGGAAUAGCGAGGAAAUUUCCGGCCCCGAUAACAAUAUCGGACAAAAACAUUUUCACCCUGGGUACCUAUAACUCAAUACUUAAAAAAUUAAUUAAUUUUUGGAGAUAUCUGAACCCGCUCGUAUCGAAAAACCAUACAAUAACAAGUGAAUAACAAACAUUCUCCGGCUGACGAGAUGAGAAAACAAGACAACAAAAAUAUAUACUGAGCACUCAACUUUCAACAAACAACGCGAGAUUUAUCUCACACAAUGUACAAGUGUGACGUAUUCGUGAGGAAGUUCUUGAAAGACUUCCUGUCCACCUUGGCUCACGUUACCACUGCCAGUGAAGACAAAAGUCAAUGGUCCGAUCGAUUUGGGCAUUGCUCCUAAUGCGAUUUCGUAGCCAACAUCCCGGAUGGCUUGUCUGGCUACCGCCGAAUCUCGACACUUUUGAGUUAAAAAAAAUGAAAAAAAAAAGGAAGAAACGAAGAAUACCAUAAACGGCGUGUGAUGACCAAGUGCAAGAAGUCUCAGACCAAGACCAUGCAAAAUAUUGACCAUCCCAGCGACGCCGGCGUAUUUUCCAAAAGCCACGACACGCUGACCA